rnacentral:tRNA from 1 species
GGGCGACGACUCAGCCGGUGACGAGGCCGAUCUGAUACGUCGGUAUGGCGCGGUUCAACUCCGUGGUCGCCCACCA